rnacentral:rRNA from 1 species
UACGAAGGGGGCUAGCGUUGCUCGGAAUUACUGGGCGUAAAGGGCGCGUAGGCGGCACUGUUAGUCAGGCGUGAAAGUCCUGGGCUCAACCUGGGAACUGCGCUUGAUACGGCAGAGCUAGAGGAUGGGAAGAGGCUCGCGGAAUUCCCAGUGUAGAGGUGAAAUUCGUAGAUAUUGGGAAAGAACACCGGUGGCGAAGGCGGCGAGCUGGUCCAUUACUGACGCUAGGCGCGACAGCGUGGGGAGCAACACGGAUUAG